rnacentral:misc_RNA from 1 species
GAUGAAGAACGCAGCAAAAUGCGAUAAGUAAUGUGAAUUGCAGAAUUCAGUGAAUCAUUGAAUCUUUGAACGCACAUUGCGCCCGCCAGUAUUCUGGCGGGCAUGCCUGUUCGAGCGUCAUUUCAACCCUCAAGCACAGCUUGGUGUUGGGACUCGCGUUAAUUCGCGUUCCUCAAAUUGAUUGGCGGUCACGUCGAGCUUCCAUAGCGUAGUAGUAAAACCCUCGUUACUGGUAAUCGUCGCGGCCACGCCGUUAAACCCCAACUUCUGAAUGUUGACCUCGGAUCAGGUAGGAAUACCCGCUGAACUUAAGCAUAUCAAUAAGCGGAGGA